GCAAGAUUUCAUCCCUACAGCAGAGGACAAGGGCCUCACUUGAUCAUGCCUGCCAGUCAAGGUCGCAACCCACGGAGGGGGGACGCGCUGUUGUUCGGCAUUGGCUGCGCAAACUGCCACGCAGGAAGGCACCCUCUAUGGACGGGGAUGACCAUGAUGCAGGGGAGGAUGAGGACCGAUACAUUGAGCUCGACUACGACGGGGCACCGCACAAGGGCAUGAUGUAGUGCCCAGGAUGCUCUUCGGAUGGCUCCCAGGAUGGGAUUGAACCUAGUUGAGGUCCUUGGGAAAUCAGGCCCUCCUGUUUCCAAGAUCAUAGGCUUUCACAAAGACAAGUAUACCAAGGAUGCCAUGGAGAAAGAUCGCCUAAAAGAACAAGGUCAUAAUGUUGUACCGAGGGCAUAAAGUUGUAUCCAGGAUGGGCUUGCACCUGGUUGAGGUCCAUCGGAAAUAGGACCAUCCUGCUUGCAAGAUCAUGGACUUCCACAAAGACAAGUAUAACAAGGAUGUCAAGGAGAAAGAGCACGUAAAAACCAAGGGAAGGGAGGAGUAAAUGAGAUGGUGGGAUUGAUUCUAACCUAUCAAUGGUUGUAGUAUGUGUUGUUCAGUUGCAACAUAAGACAUGGUUGUGCAUGUUUUGAUCCUUGUUGUGGAAUCUAAACAACUCCUUGUAUAGUUUAUUUGAUUAUUACUGCCAGUAUUCUGCCUGUGA